rnacentral:rRNA from 1 species
AUGUUACUUAUAGCUAUGCCAAGGGGUAGAGGUCGUGGUCGUGGUCCUCGUGGUCGUAGUCGUGGAGGACGCAACAAUCAGGAAGAGGAACCUCAUGCGGAAAGUGAGCAUAGCCAUCAUGGAGAAGAACUUGCAAGAGAAUCUGCUAACAGUGGUGGGCACAAUGAUCCAGGGAUGAUCUUAAAAGACUGGAUAGGUUUGAAAGUUGAUUGCUUUGAUGGAACUGGGACGCCAAUGGAUGCAGCGUCAUGGUUGAAUACCAUGGAGAAAUAUAUGGAUGCUAUGGAGUUGACUUCGCAAAAGAGAGCCCAAUUUGUGCGCUUCAACCUUAAGAAUCUUGCUGAUGAUUGGUGGACAGGAGUCCGUGCUGCUCAUAUUCCUAUCUAUGGGCAACCCACCUGGGAGUUUUUUGUGCAACAAUUCACCGCAAAGUAUUAUCCAGACUCAUUCAAGGAGGAAAUGUCGGUGAAGUUGAACUACCUUAAGCAAGGGAAGUUGACUGUGGAUGAGUAUGAGGCAGAAUUUAGUAAGAUGGUACUCUUUGUGGAUCGGGUGAAGUGUAAUGAGGCGGAGAAGGCUAAGGCAUUCUUUAGAGGGCUGAAUUCAAAGUACAGAGAAGUGAUGGGAGCAAACCCCCCUACAGAUUACCUAACAAUGGUUAGGCAGGCUAGAGGGAUGGAGUUGGAGGUCCGCCUCACAGAAGCCCAGGAGAAUCGUGCUGGAGGUUCUGGGGGCACAGGUGGUGACUCAAAGGUGAGUUACCGCGGUGGAAGUGGGUCUACUCCUCGACCUCCUUUCACGAAGUCCAAAGGAAAUUACCGUCCGCAACAAACAACAAAGUUCAAGCAGUCAAGGUCUCAGUAUUCUUCGGUGCCCCGUUCUUCUUCAUCAGCUCCAUCUUUUCGCCCGGUGCCAGGGCAAGGCAUGAUUUGUUUCAAGUGUGGUGAAGGGCACUGUGCUUCUGUGCUUCUAAGUGUUCCUGGACUGGGAAAUGCCACCAUUGCAAUCGUGAGGGUCAUAAGGGACUGCUGGCGUGCCACCUCCGGGCUACGUUUGGCAGGCUGUUCCGAUGGCUUCAUCCCAUUUUCCUGCAUCGACAGUUCCACUUCAGCUACCUGCACCGUCACAACAGGGUGUUGGGUCUUCCUCUGUUCCACCACAGCCUGGAGUUUAUGUCAUGCCCACUAG